UGUGGGCACUGCCAAAACUCUUCUCAUCUCCCAUCUUGACUAACGCUGUCUUUUCCUGUGUACAUCCAUAUAGCAACUGUCAACACCGGGCAUCUCCUCACCUUGCCCUCCAUCUAACAUUCCCACCACGCAGGGAGAAAGUUUUGAGGCGUGGGGAGUGAUGGGAGGAAGAAGGAGGCAAUCCCUUCCCCAUCUGUCAGCCAUUCUCAGAGGGACCCCCCUCACUCUUCUGUUGAGUGCUCUCCUCCUGAGAGCAUUUGCGCAAUGAUUAAAGGUCCUGGUGGAGACUAUCUCUCUGUUGGGGAGCUGGAGACAUGCCACAUCCAGUGGGAAUAUCCGAGAAGCUCCUGGGAGGGAGUCGCAGUGGUGGAUCCUGCUGACUACCCUGCUCCCAUUUCGUUCCCCGAACGCCGGCUCUGCUGCUACCACCCCUGUGCCCUCUGCAGACUCUUCAGUGCUGCCACCACCUAUGGGCUUGCAAAGCCACCGGAACCCUGUGGGCUGAUGGAGCUGGUAUAGUGACUGUCCCCAGCACAGUGCUUGGAGACACCUGAGUUGGCUGAAGCAGGGCCUGGAGGGGUUCCUGGAUUUGCUCGGAAACCCUCUGCUAGCACAUGACCUCCUGGCGUGCCCUGGCUCAGGCAGCAGACACGAAGCAUUUGCAGAGAGAGCAGCAAGCGGGACUUCGUAGUGCGGCACAACGGGGUGUUGCACCUCUGAAAAAGCAGGAACCCUCUUGCCUCCUGAAAACUAACAGCAACUUUCCCUGAGAGGUUUGUAUUUUACAGGAGGCAUGUCAGCUUGCUGUCCUGAUUAUACAGCUGCUAGCCUAGUUCUGGGAAACGAGUGCAUGAAAAUGAGUGCAGAAAAUGAGGCUUCUAAUAAGGCUCAAAGACUUUGAACUUCCCCUAUUGUCACCGUAGGUCUUCCCCUACUUGCUUAGCAGAGGGAGAACUAUUCAGCUACAAUCAAAUAAUGCAAAUGACCUGAAGGAAAUUCAUCCUAGAGACACUUGCUGGAUACACUGCUAAUAUGGUUUCCUCUCUUUCACUAUUCAACCAGAAUCUAGGAUGACCUUUCCAAUGAAACAUAAAACCUACAAUGUGCACCCUUACUAAUGUAUUCUAAUGCAAUUAGUUCAUACAAAAGGCUUGUUAAAUUUGCAGUAUCUGCUUUCACCUUUACAAUAAUUGCUAGUGAUCCCAAACCAUAAGUGUGUGUCAUUCUGCAAGGCUCCUGAACUGUAAAUAAAAUGGAAAGUUUAUUUGAUAACUCUCCUGCCUGUCUCAACAGUCCUGCUUUUCUCGCAGAGGUGCCUACAUGAAGCCUACCAGAAGCUUAAACCUGGCUCAAGAGAGAGGGUCAAAAGAAAAGAUGUAAGCUGUAGCGAGG